UACGAAGGGGGCUAGCGUUGUUCGGAAUUACUGGGCGUAAAGCGCACGUAGGCGGCUUUCUAAGUCGGGGGGUGAAAUCCUGGAGCUCAACUCCAGAACUGCCUUCGAUACUGGAAAGCUCGAGUCCGGGAGAGGUGAGUGGAACUGCGAGUGUAGAGGUGAAAUUCGUAGAUAUUCGCAAGAACACCAGUGGCGAAGGCGGCUG
rnacentral:rRNA from 1 species